UACACUGUCUAGUGAAGAAAGAAGUUCUC
rnacentral:piRNA from 1 species